rnacentral:snRNA from 1 species
GUGCUCGCUUCAGCAGCACAUAUACUAAAGUUGGAACGAUACAGAGAAGAUUAGCACGGCCCCUGCGCAAGGAUGACACACAAAUUCGUGAAGCAUUCCAUAUUUUU